rnacentral:rRNA from 1 species
AAGACCUUGCGCUUUUGGAGCGGCCGAUGCCUGAUUAGCUUGUUGGUAAGGUAAAAGCUUACCAAGGCUUCGAUCAGUAGCUGGUCUGAGAGGACGACCAGCCACACUGGGACUGAGACACGGCCCAGACUCCUACGGGAGGCAGCAGUGGGGAAUUUUGGACAAUGGGGGCAACCCUGAUCCAGCCAUGCCGCGUGAGUGAAGAAGGCCUUCGGGUUGUAAAGCUCUUUCAGCCGGAACGAAACGGUUACGGUUAAUACCCGUAACUAAUGACGGUACCGGAAGAAGAAGCACCGGCUAACUACGUGCCAGCGGCCGCGGUAAUACGUAGGGUGCGAGCGUUAAUCGGAAUUACUGGGCGUAAAGCGUGCGCAGGUGGUUUUGUAAGUCAGAUGUGAAAGCCCCGGGCUCAACCUGGGAACU